rnacentral:rRNA from 1 species
GAUGAACGCUGGCGGCGUGCCUAAUACAUGCAAGUCGAGCGAACAGACGAGGCGCUUGCUCCUCGGACGUUAGCGGCGGACGGGUGAGUAACACGUGGAUAACCUACCUAUAAGACUGGGAUAACUUCGGGAAACCGGAGCUAAUACCGGAUAAUAUAUUGAACCGCAUGGUGCAAUAGUGAAAUACGGUUUUGGUGUCACUUAUAGAUGGAUCCGCGCCGCCUUAGCUAGUUGGUAAGGUAACGGCUUACCAAGGCGAAGAUGCGUAGCCGAGCUGAGAGGGUGAUCGGCCACACUGGAACUGAGACACGGUCCAGACUACUACGGGAGGCAGCAGUAGGGAAUCUUCCGCAAAGGGCGAAAGCCUGACGGAGCAACGCCGCGUGAGUGAUGAAGGUCUUCGGAUCGUAAAACUCUCUUAUUAGGGAAGAACCAAUGUGUAAGUAACUAUGCACGUCUUGACGGUACCUAAUCAGAAAGCCACGGCUAACUACGUG